CCGUUGUUGUUCUUGACCUGUCACCUAAUUUUUUGCCGUCUUUUUCUGUCUAUCUGGAGGUUCUUUCCGUUCUUAAUGUUCUUUCCGUUGUUGUUCUUGACCUGUCACCUACUUUUCUGCCAUAUGUUUCUGUCUCUCUGGAGGUUAUUUCCCUUAUUUCCGUUCUUUCCGUUCUUUCCGUUCUUUCCGGUAUUUCCGUUAUUAUUUCCAUUUUCCCCGUUAUUAUUUCCGUUAUUAUUUCCGAUAUUUCUGUUAUUUCCUUUAUUAUUUCCGUUAAUUGGUUUUUUUCUGUUAUUUCCGUUGUUCUUCUUGACCUGUCACCUAAUUUUCUGCCGUAUGUUUCUGUCUUUCUGGAGGUUAUUUCCGUUAUUUCUGUUAUUAUUUUCAUUAUUUCCAUUAUUUCCGUUAUUAUUUCUGUUAUUCUGUUUUUUUCUGUUAUUUCCCUUUUUGUUCCUGACUUGUCACCUAAUUUUCUGCCGUAGGUUUCUGUCUCUCUGGAGGUUUUAUCCGUUAUUUCCGUUAUUUCCGAUAUUAUUUCCGUUAUUUCCGUUAUUAGUUCCGUUAUAUCCAUUUUUAUUUUCGUUAUUUCUGUUAUUUCCAUUAUUUCCAUUAUUUCUGUUGUUGUUCUUGACCUGUCACCUAGUUUUCUGCCGUAUGUUUCUGACUCUCUGAAGGUUCUUUCCGUUAUUUCCGUUAUUAUUUCCGUUAUUUCCGUUUGUAUUUUCGUUAUUUCCGUUAUUUCCAUUAUUAUUUCCGUUAUUUCGUUUUUUUCUGUUAUUUCCAUUUUGUUCUUGACCUGUCACCUAACUUUCUGCCGUAAGUUUCUGUCUCUCUAGUGGUUCUUUCCGUUCUUUCCGUUAUUAUUUCCGUUCUUUCCGUUAUUUCCGUUGUUGUUCUUGACUUGUCACUUCAUUUUCUGCUAUAUGUUUCUGUCUCUGUGGAGGUUGUUUCCGUUAUUUCCAUUAUUUACGUUAUUAUUUCCGUUAUUAUUUCCGUUAUUUCCGUUAUUAUUUCUGUUAUUUCU
ensembl:lncRNA